GUCCCGGUAGCUCAACUGGAUAGAGCACGUACUUCGCAAGACGGAGGUUGUGGGUUCGAGUCCCACCCGGGGCG
rnacentral:tRNA from 1 species